rnacentral:rRNA from 1 species
UACGUAGGGGGCAAGCGUUGUCCGGAUUCAUUGGGCGUAAAGCGCGGGCAGGCGGCCCGCUCAGUCGGCCGUGAAAGCGCCGGGCUCAACUCGGCGAGGUCGGGCGAUACUGGCGGGCUCGAGGCUGGUAGAGGGCGGUGGAAUUCCGGGUGUAGUGGUGGAAUGCGUAGAGAUCCGGAGGAACACCAGCGGCGAAGGCGGCAUCCUGGACUGGUCCUGACACUCAUGAGCGAAAGCGUGGGGAGCGAUCCGG